CAAAAUCCGGGGAUACAAUACUCUGAGGUGUGAUGACGGAUAUAGGCCUUCGGGUCUGUAGAAGUAGCUGAUGCCCUGCUUCCAAGAAAAGCCACUAAGGUUAGGCAAAUAUAAACCGUACCCCAAACCAACACUGGUGGUCAGGUAGAGAAUACUAAGGCGUUGAGAGAACUUGGGUGAAGGAACUCGGCAAAAUAGCACCGUAACUUCGGGAGAAGGUGCGCCACUUUUGGUGAAAGGCCUUGCGCCUCUAGCUUAGAGUGGUCGAAGAAACUAGGUGGCUGCGACUGUUUAUCAAAAACACAGCACUCUGCAAACUCGUAAGAGGAAGUAUAGGGUGUGACGCCUGCCCGGUGCCGGAAGGUUAAUUGAAGGGGUUAUCCUGGUUUACUAGGAGAAGCUCUAGAUCGAAGCCCCGGUAAACGGCGGCCGUAACUAUAACGGUCCUAAGGUAACGAAAUUCCUUGUCGGGUAAGUUCCGACCUGCACGAAUGGCGUAACGAUGGCCACACUGUCUCCACCCAAGACUCAGUGAAGUUGAAAUCGCUGUGAAGAUGCAGUGUACCCGCGGCAAGACGGAAAGACCCCGUGCACCUUUACUAUAGCUUUGCAUUGAACUUUGAAUAAGUUUGUGUAGGAUAGGUGGGAGGCGUUGAAGGGUUCUCGCUAGAGGAUCUGGAGCCAACCUUGAAAUACCACCCUGAUUUGUUUGAAGUUCUAACGCCAACCCAUAAUCUGGGUUGCGGACAGUGUAUGGUGGGUAGUUUGACUGGGGCGGUCUCCUCCCAAAGAGUAACGGAGGAGCGCGAAGGUACCCUCGGCAUGGUCGGAAAUCAUGCUAUGAGUGCAAAAGCAAAAGGGUGCUUGACUGCGAGACAGACAAGUCGAGCAGCUACGAAAGUAGGCUUUAGUGAUCCGGUGGUUCUGUAUGGAAGGGCCAUCGCUCAACGAAUAAAAGGUACGCCGGGGAUAACAGGCUGAUACUUCCCAAGAGUUCACAUCGACGGAAGUGUUUGGCACCUCGAUGUCGGCUCAUCACAUCCUGGGGCUGAAGCAGGUCCCAAGGGUAUGGCUGUUCGCCAUUUAAAGUGGUACGCGAGCUGGGUUCAGAACGUCGUGAGACAGUUCGGUCCCUAUCUGCCGUGGGCGUUGGAAAAUUGAGAAGAGCUGCUCCUAGUACGAGAGGACCGGAGUGGACGUACCGCUGGUGUACCAGUUGUGAUGCCAAUUGCAUUGCUGUUAGCUAAGUACGGAAGGGAUAACCGCUGAAAGCAUCUAAGCGGGAAGCCUCCUUCAAGAUAAGUUUUCCCGGGACAUAAGUCCCCUAAAGGUCCGUUGAAGACUACGACGUAGAUAGGCUGGGUGUGUAAGAGUUGUAAGGCUUUGAGCUAACCAGUACUAAUUGACCGUGCGGCUUGACCAA
rnacentral:rRNA from 1 species